rnacentral:rRNA from 1 species
GUGUCAGCCGCCGCGGUAAUACGGAGGAUCCGAGCGUUAUCCGGAUUUACUGGGUUUAAAGGGUGCGUAGGCGGACGCCUAAGUCAGCGGUGAAAUGCGGGGGCUCAACCUUCGAACCGCCGUUGAUACUGGGCGUCUUGGAUUCGGUCGAGGCGGGCGGAAUGCGACAUGUAGCGGUGAAAUGCUUAGAUAUGUCGCAGAACGCCGAUUGCGAAGGCAGCUCGCCGGGCCGACAUCGACGCUGAGGCACGAAAGCGUGGGGAUCGAACAGGAUUAGAUACCCCCGUAGUCC